rnacentral:sRNA from 1 species
UCACAGCCUGAAGACUGAAAUAAUCUGUUUAUCCACAGAACAGGAGCAGCCUCAGUAAUGGCAGGGCAAGCUGCCACUUGUCAUCGUGUCUCACCGCUGACAUGGAGGGUCCACUUCUAGGGUUAAGCGUCCAUAGUCCAUCCAUUCAGUCUUUGGCCUCUAUGCUGCCUGGCAACC